GGAUGAACGCUGGCGGCGUGCUUGAUACAUGCAAGUCGAACGGAGAGUGUAGCAAUAUACUUUUAGUGGCGAACGGGUGAGUAACGCGUUGGUGACCUGCCCCGAAGCGAGGGAUAACAGUUCGAAAGAACUGCUAAUACCUCAUGUGAUCACCGGUUUUAGAAUCUGGUGAUUAAAGGUGAAAAUCACUUCGGGAGGGGCCUGCGUCCCAUCAGCUAGUUGGUAAGGUAAUGGCUUACCAAGGCGAUGACGGGUAGGGGACCUGAGAGGGUGGCCCCCCACAAUGGAACUGAAACACGGUCCAUACACCUACGGGUGGCAGCAGUAGGGAAUAUUGCAAAUGGGCGAAAGCCUGACGCAGCGACGCCGCGUGGGUGAUGAAGGUCUGCGGACCGUAAAGCCCUGUCAGGAGGGAAGAAGCACUGACAGUACCUCCAGAGGAAGCCCCGGCUAACUACGUGCCAGCAGCCGCGGUAACACGUAGGGGGCUAGCGUUGUCCGGAAUUACUGGGCGUAAAGCGCGCGUAGGCGGUUAGGCAAGCAGUGGGUGAAAUGCCGGGGCUCAACUCCGGCGCCGCUUGCUGAACUGUCUGACUAGGGUCCGGGAGAGGGCAGUGGAAUUCCUGGUGUAGCGGUGGAAUGCGUAAAUAUCAGGAAGAACACCCGUGGCGAAGGCUGCUGCCUGGAACGGUACCGACGCUGAGGCGCGAAAGCUAGGGGAGCGAACGGGAUUAGAUACCCCGGUAGUCCUAGCCGUAAACGAUGGACACUAGGUGUUGGGAGCAUCGACCCUCCCAGUGCUGUUCUGCUAACGCGUUAAGUGUCCCGCCUGGGGAGUACGGCCGCAAGGUUGAAACUCAUAGGAAUUGACGGGGGCCCGCACAAGCGGUGGAGCAUGCGGGUUAAUAGGAUGAUACGCCAAGAACCUUACCAGGGCUUGACAUGACGGGGACAGCCUGUGAAAGCAGGUCUCCUGGGCAACCAGGUCCCGCCACAGAUGGUGCAUGGUUGUCGUCAGCUCGUGCCGUGAGGUGUUGGGUUAAGUCCCGCAACGAGCGCAACCCUCGCCAGAUGUUGCCAUCGGGUCUACGGAUGCCGGGCACUCUUCUGGGACUGCCUGAGUAAUCAGGAGGAAGGAGAGGACGACGUCAAAUCUGCAUGCCUCUUACGCCCUGGGCUGCACGCGUGCUACAAUGGCGAGUACAAAGGGUAGCGAAGCCGCGAGGUGGAGCCAAUCCCCCAAAACUCGUCCCAGUUCGGAUCGGACGUCUGCAACUCGACUCCGUGAAGGCGGAAUCGCUAGUAACCGUGGAUCAGCAAUGCCGCGGUGAAUACGUUCCCGGGCCU
rnacentral:rRNA from 1 species